rnacentral:rRNA from 1 species
CGGAGGAUCCAAGCGUUAUCCGGAAUCAUUGGGUUAAAGGGUCCGUAGGCGGUUUAGUAAGUCAGUGGUGAAAGCCCAUCGCUCAACGGUGGAACGCCAUUGAUACUGCUAGACUUGAAUUAUUAGGAAGUAACUAGAAUACGUAGUGUAGCGGUGAAAUGCUUAGAGAUUACAUGGAAUACCAAUUGCGAAGGCAGGUUACUACUAAUGGAUUGACGCUGAUGGACGAAAGCGUGGGUAGCGAACAGGAUUAGAUACCCUGGUAGUCCACGCCGUAAACGAUGAUAGCUAGAUGUGUGUGGUAUUGACCCCAUACGUGUCGAAGCAAACGCGAUAAGCUAUCCGCCUGGGGAGUACGGUCGCAAGAUUA